rnacentral:lncRNA from 1 species
UUACAAGGUCACAGGAGAGAAACCAGCAGUGACCCUGGACACAUCUCCUUCCUCCCAUAUGGUCUCCUGGAAGGUGUGAGGAGGAGAGUGGAUUUGGUGGAGAGUCAGGGAAUAUAGGAAGUGGGAACCUUUAAAGUCUUUGUGAAGGCAUCUCCCACCAGGCUGACAGGGGCCAGGCUGAUGCUGCGGCAGAGGGUUGGCCAUGUGGCCAAUAAAACCUCUGUCCUCUGUCCUUUGGCCAGUGGAUCCUCAUUUAAAUCACCCUUGUUUGGGAGAAGGCCACUCACCCCUGCUUUCCUGGGACCUUCUUGGUUUAGCACAGCUCUCCUGUGUCCUGAGAACACUCUCUGUCCCCAACAAACUGGGAGGGUUAGUCAACCUAGACUUCUGGUGGCAGGGCUACAGGGGAGCUGGUGUCUAGCUUCCCAUGACAACCACCAAAAGCAGAUAGGAAGGAGAUGGAGGCAGGAGACCAGGUCACAGUGCAGGGUCUAAGGUGGCUGCUACCUACCUUGGUCCCAGCACAGAGUUUGGGAGACCACCCGUGGCUCAGGUCAUUGGUCAUUUUUGUGAUUUUGGUCUCUAGGAGCCAAGAACAGAUGGGUGAGAAAACUUGAGGUUUUGCUCUGGACAAGAUCAAGACCCUGAGUUACAAAAGCAUGUGGGCCUUUGCGGUGUGUGUGUGUGUGUGUGUCUCUGUGUGUGCCUGUGUGUGUAUGUGUGUGAGUGUGGAUCUGGAGUAGUCUGGACACUGUCUUCCAGCACCAUUUGAGGAUGUUGAGUCAUCACUCAUGUUCAGUCUCCACCUGCAGAAGAAAUGGAAAAAAAAGUCUCUAAUUGAGAAGGGUCCCUGGUGGCUGGAGUCUCAGGACCCAGUUCUAACAGGAAGCCCAUUUCAGGAGGAAAUUCCUGGAAGGGAGGCUAGUCUUGCUCUGACUUCCCUGGANNNNNNNAGGCAUUUGGGAGUUGUCUGCCUUUUCAGAAGGACCAGCUGGCAUUUACUAACAGGCUGUGUCCAUAAAGCCCCUGGCGCUGAGCUCACCCUGGGCUGAGCUUUGCAGGGAUGGAGAGCAGUCAGAUAAGGCCCAGGGCUCAUCCCUGGACUUGUUCUCAGCUUGUAACUGUGUCAGUAAUGUGUCUGACUCUGUUCUCUAACACGGGAAAGCAGAUGGACACCAUUCCUGGAGAUAAGGCUGUUGAACUGGAGUCCAGUUUAGCUUGAAGGGGAGGCAAAAGUUUACCUUUACCCUAUUAGGAUUUUAUGUGUCAGGGCCUGUGACUUCAGCUGACAGCAGACAACUCAACAGGAGAAAAGCAGACAAGCUUAUUUAGUGCAAGUUGAACAUAAUAUGAGGGGAGACUUCUUAAGAAAUGAAAAAUCCCCAAAUUGGGAAAUUCACUUGCUUUUAUAUGUGUUUCAACAAAGAGAAGCAACUGUGGAAAAGUAACUACAUCAUGUGGGGAGGAUAAAAUAGGAUGAUUUUAUCAAGAUCUCUGUGUGCAAAAUUCUCUGGACUCAACUUUAUGUCCUGAUGAUAAGAAUGUUAUUUCCUUCUGGCAUAAAGGGGAUGCAUUUCAAUGGCAACUUAUUUCCUGCUUAGAAGNNNNNNNNNNNNNNNNNNNNNNNNNNNNNNNNNNNNNNNNNNNNNNNNNNNNNNNNNNNNNNNNNNNNNNNNNNNNNNNNNNNNNNNNUCAAUAUGCCAUAUCAACAUAUUUUACAGUGGGAAGUUUUGAAUUCCUUCGGGGGUAAACAUAAAAACAUGUUCAAGACUUUAAAUAGGCUCAGUUGUUUUAAAGCUAAGUCAUUUCACACUUUAGAGUCACUCUGGAGCUUCUUUGGCUGACCUGGUCCAGGCCAGUGGUUUGCUGUCUUCACUGCUCCCAACUUCAGCUCUUACAAAGGCGGCUUUCCAGUCACUUUGAGAAACAUUCCUUGGCCUUUGGGUAAAAACCUCCCUGCAAUUCAAUGCAUGACAAUAUGGAUAACAUAGGGGGAAAAAAUAAAAAGCUCAAGUGGCUUCAAAUAGAAGAGCAACGUUUCUAAGACCUGGAAACAUUGAUGAAAUACUAAUGGCUGGUGG